rnacentral:rRNA from 1 species
UACGGAGGGUGCAAGCAUUAAUCGGAAUUACUGGGCGUAAAGGGCGCGUAGGCGGAUUUGUAAGUCAGAUGUGAAAUUCCGAUGCUCAACAUCGGAACUGCAUUUGAAACUGUGAGUCUAGAGGAUUGGCGGAGAAAGUGGAAUUCCACGAGUAGCGGUGAAAUGCGUAGAUAUGUGGAGGAACACCGGUGGCGAAGGCGACUUUCUAGCUUAUACCUGACGCUGAGGCGCGAGAGCAAGGGGAUCAAACAGG